GGAGAAAUAGAACUGUAGCUCUGUGGUGGAGCAUCUGCUUUGCACCAGAAGGUUCCAGGUUCAAUCCCUGGCAUCUCCA